rnacentral:rRNA from 1 species
UUUUCGUGCGGAACCACAAACCAUAAGUAGCAAAAGCCAGUCGGGCGGUAAGGCUCCUUCGGGAGUACACGAGCGGCGAACGGGUGAGUAACACGUGAGCAAUCUGCCCUUCACACAGGGAUAACUCCGGGAAACCGAAGCUAAUACCUGAUACGACCACUUCAGGCAUCUGAUGGUGGUGGAAAGUUCCGGCGGUGAAGGAUGAGCUCGCGGCCUAUCAGCUUGUUGGUGGGGUAACGGCCCACCAAGGCAACGACGGGUAGCCGGCCUGAGAGGGUGACCGGCCACACUGGGACUGAGACACGGCCCAGACUCCUACGGGAGGCAGCAGUGGGGAAUAUUGGACAAUGGGCGAAAGCCUGAUCCAGCAACGCCGCGUGAGGGAUGACGGCCUUCGGGUUGUAAACCUCUUUCAGCAGGGACGAAGCGCAAGUGACGGUAGGUACAGAAGAAGGACCGGCCAACUACGUGCCAGCAGCC